rnacentral:misc_RNA from 1 species
GAAUUGCGAAAAGUAAUGUGAAUUGCAGAAUUCCGUGAAUCAUCGAAUCUUUGAACGCAUAUUGCACUCUUUGGUUCUCCAGAGAGUAUGCCUGUUUGAGUAUCAUUAACUUCUCUUUCCCAACCAAAGGGCGUUUACUCGUCCCGCGGCUGUGGCAAAGGACUUGAGCAUUCUAGCGCACACUAAGCAGUUAGCUUGGAACUUUGCGUCUAGUUGCUUGAAAUGAAGCGCGUGCUGUGCUUUGCCACAUUCACGACCGGCGUACUAGUUCUCCUCGGAGAUUCACUUUACGCCAUCAGGUCUGGAUAUCCGGCUUACAGUCGCGACAAUAUACUCAACAGAGCGCUAAAGCAGCUUGCUGCCUUGGUAGCUCUACUUCUUGAUCUCAAAUCAGGCAAGA